UUUGACCUCAAAUCAGGUAGGACUACCCGCUGAACUUAAGCAUAUCAAUAAGCGGAGGAAAAGAAACUAACAAGGAUUCCCCUAGUAACUGCGAGUGAAGCGGGAUGAGCUCAAAUUUAAAAUCUGGCGGUUCUGCCGUCCGAGUUGUAAUCUGGAGAAGCGUUUUCUGUGCUGGACCGUAUAUAAGUUCCUUGGAAUAGGACGUCAUAGAGGGUGAGAAUCCCGUCUUUGGUACGGACUACCAGUACUCUGUGAUACGCUCUCAAAGAGUCGAGUUGUUUGGGAAUGCAGCUCAAAAUGGGUGGUAAAUUCCAUCUAAAGCUAAAUAUAGGCGAGAGACCGAUAGCGAACAAGUACCGUGAGGGAAAGAUGAAAAGCACUUUGGAAAGAGAGUUAAACAGUACGUGAAAUUGUUGAAAGGGAAACGCUUGAAGUCAGUCGCGUUGUCCAGGACUCAGCCUUGGUUUUCCUUGGUGUACUUCCUGGUUGACGGGUCAACAUCAAUUUUGACCGGUGGACAAAGGCUUGGGGAAUGUGGCACCUUCGGGUGUGUUAUAGCCCCUUGUCAUAUACAUUGGUUGGGAUUGAGGACCGCAGCACGCCCUUGUGGCCGGGGUUCGCCCACGUAACGUGCUUAGGAUGUUGGCAUAAUGGCUUUAAGCGACCNGUCUUGAAACACGGACCAAGGAGUCUAACAUGCCUGCGAGUGUUAGGGUGGUAAACCCUUGCGCGUAAUGAAAGUGAAAGUUGGGACCUCUUGCGAGGGCACCGACGCCCGGCCCUGAACUCUUGUGACGGUGCUGCGGUAGAGCAUGUAUGUUGGGACCCGAAAGAUGGUGAACUAUGCCUGAAUAGGGCGAAGCCAGAGGAAACUCUGGUGGAGGCUCGUAGCGAUUCUGACGUGCAAAUCGAUCGUCAAAUUUGGGUAUAGGGGCGAAAGACUAAUCGAACCAUCUAGUAGCU
rnacentral:rRNA from 1 species